rnacentral:rRNA from 1 species
UACGUAGGGGGCAAGCGUUGUCCGGAAUCAUUGGGCGUAAAGCGCGUGUAGGCGGCUCGAUAAGUCCGGUGUGAAACCUUGGGGCUCAACCCCAAGCCUGCACUGGAUACUGCCGAGCUAGAGUCCGGGAGGGGAGAGCGGAAUUCCUAGUGUAGCGGUGAAAUGCGCAGAUAUUAGGAAGAACACCGGUGGCGAAGGCGGCUCUCUGGAACGGUACUGACGCUGAGACGCGAAAGCGUGGGGAGCGAACAGG